AGGACAAACGCUGGCGGCGUACCUAAGACAUGCAAGUCGAACGGGGCUCCGUGCUUCGGCGUGGAGUUGAGUGGCGAACGGGUGAGUAACGCGUAGGAACCUGUCGUUGAGUGGGGGAUAACGCUGGGAAACCGGUGCUAAUACCGCAUGAGGUUGCUGGGGGAGACUCUGGUAAAGAAAGCAGUAAUGCGCUCGAUGAGGGGCCUGUGUCCGAUUAGCUUGUUGGUGGGGUAAAGGCCUACCAAGGCGACGAUCGGUAGCUGGUCUGAGAGGAUGGUCAGCCACACUGGGACUGAGACACGGCCCAGACUCCUACGGGAGGCAGCAGUUAGGAAAUUUUCCCAAUGGGCGAAAGCCUGAGGGAGUAACGCCGCGUGCGGGAUGACGGCUUUCGGGUUGUAACCGCUUUUCUGUGGAAGAGUAGAAGACGGUACCGCAGGAAUAAGCCUCGGCUAACUACGCGCCAGCAGCCGC
rnacentral:rRNA from 1 species